rnacentral:rRNA from 1 species
GACGAACGCUGGCGGCGUGCCUAAUACAUGCAAGUCGAACGCAGUGGGGACGGGUGAGUAACACGUGGGUAACCUCCCAUCAGAGGGGAUAACACUUGGAAACAGGUGCUAAACCGAUACUGAUGGAUGGACCCGCGGUUCAGUGGCUAGUUGGUGAGGUAACGGCUCACCAAGGCCACGAUGCAUAGACGACCUGAGAGGGGGUUCGGCCACACGGGUACUGAGCAACGGCCCAGAUGCCUACGGGAGGCAGCAGUAGGGAAGCUGCGGCAAUGGACGAAAUUCUGACCGAGCAACGCCGCGUGAGUGAAGAAGGUUUUCGGAUCGUAAAACUCUGUUGUUAGAGAAGCGGUAUCUAACCAGAAAGCCACGGCUAACUACGUGCCAGCAGCCGCGGUAAUUC